rnacentral:snoRNA from 1 species
GGAUCAAUGAUGACACCCCAAAAAACAUUCCUUGGAAAAGCUGAACAAAAUGAGUGAAAACUCUAAACCCUUAUUCUCAUCAUGAUUGCGGUCC